UGGAAGGGAGUUUGGGUGCAGAAAGGGUGAGAGGUUGGGCUCUGGGAGGGAGUUUGGUUCGGGUAGGGGGUCUGGGAUGCAGGCGCUGGGAUGGAGUUUGGGUCCUGGGUGGAGGCUCUGGACUGGGGCGGGGGUUUGUGUGGGUGCAGGCUCUGGGAGGG